ensembl:lncRNA
GUAGACCUCAAGAGAAAGAGGAGAAGUAACUUGUAGACCUCAAGAGAAAGAGGAGAAGUAACUUGUAGACUUCAGGAGAGAGAGGAGAAUUAACUUGUAGACCUCAAGAGAAAGAGGAGAAGUAACUUGUAGACCUCAAGAGAAAGAGGAGAAGUAACUUGUAGACCUCAAGAGAAAGAGGAGAAGUAACUUGUAGACCUCAAGAGAAAGAGGAGAAGUAACUUGUAGACUUCAGGAGAGAGAGGAGAAUUAACUUGUAGACCUCAAGAGAAAGAGGAGAAGUAACUUGAGCAGGAUCUUAGCAACUUGAGGGCGGGAGCAAAAGCUUUUAGACCUCAAAACAGGAGCAGGAACAUGGCAAAUUCCGGAGCAGAACUUUGAAACAUCAUGUGAAACAGCUUUGAGACUUCAGGACAGGAGCUUUGAAACACCAGGAGUAGGAACUUGUAAACUUGAGGACAGGAGCAGGACCUUAUAGACAUCAACACUGGAGCAGGAGUUUAGCAACAGGAGCAGGAGCUUGAAAUUUCAGGACCAAAUCAGGAGCUUUGAGACUCCGGGACAUGAGCAAGAGCUUGUAGAUCUAGAAACUUAAGUGUGCAGGAGCUCUCUAGGAGGAACUCACCCAUACAGUUGUUGUUGUUGUUGUUGUUUGCUUUUUUGCUUUUUUGCUUCUUUUUUAUUAAGAAAAGCAUAGAGGUGUAGCAAAGGAACAACAAAGGAAGAAAGACAAUGAGGGUAAAGGUGAAAGGAGAUAAGAAAGGAUAAGGGGAUAUUUCUUUUCAGUCAACAUGAUGGACACUGCAAUGAAGUAACCCAUGCAGCAUGUAUUAUAGAGUUUGUGCAUGUUUUCUGUGUGUGUGUGAGAGAGUGAGAGAGGGAGGGAGAGAGCGUGAGAGUGUGUCAGCAUGAGAUUCCCUUCAGCUCGAUGCAAAUGAGCUUUUGUUGUGCGUCUCUUGCCUGGUUAAUCUGUCAGGAUUUGUUUGGUGAACACAGCAUGGAGGAGAGAGAGAGUGGGCGAGAGACACAGACAGAGACACACACACACACACACAGAGAGAGAGAGAGAGAGAGAACACGAACUGUUGUGCUUUUGUGUAUUGUGCGUCUCACCCAGAAAUUGUUACCUUUCACCCAGAUGAGUGGGACAUGGAGGAGGAGGAAGAGGUACACUCGUUCCCCUCUCUCUCUCUCUCUCUCUCUCUCUCUCUCUCUCUCUCUCUCUCUCUCUCUCUCUCUCUCUUUGUGUGUGUGUGUUUCUCACGUGAAUUCAUUAUUCCUGCCCCUACUGUUUUUCUCUGUUCUCCUUCUUCACCUCAGUACACAGCUCCUCCUCUAUAUUUCUUUCUCUGUGGGAGGAGUUCCCUGUAAGAAUGUGCAGGACUGUCUUGUCACACACACACACACACACACACACACCCUCUUGCACAAAGCGCCCACACAGUUCACAGUGACAGCAAAAGCAUACAAAAGAAAGUACAGUGCGCACACACACACACACACACACACACACACACUCUCUCUCUCUCUCUCUCUCUCUCUCUCUCUCUCUCUCUCUCUCUCUCUCUCUCUCUCUCUCACACACACACACACACACACACACACACACACACC